UUCAAAUAACAUCGCAUAAAAAGACAGCUGUCAAAUUUGCUAAAUUUUUCAUCGCCAUAUUUUUCUUCGCUGGUGCUUUAACGAGGGAGAGUUUUUGAUCAUUAUCUCGGAAUUCUCAUCCUACUAAUAAAAUGAACAACGUACCGCGAUUGGCUGCCGUGGCCCGACCAUUUUUCAUGCAGCAGCGAGCCAUUGGUUCGGUAACCGGAGGACUCCCCCAAGUGCGAGUUUCGUUCGGGGAAAAAUGCGUCCAUGGACUUUUCAUCUUCUGCGGUGUGCUGGCCUAUCCGGUCUGGGUUGUUUCCCACAUGAGAGAAUACAAGGGCCAGAAGUAACCUGGAGCUGUAUGACACCGAAGUAGUUUGCAGGUUAUACAGAUUCACCACAGUUGCUGCACCAUUGUGGAACGAUUGGUGACCGGCCAGCAUCGGCUGGUGUAUGGCUGGUAUUGAUUGUUUUUGCGGGAAUUAUGUUAAGUCUUAGAAUGUGUGGUAAUUAAAUCGGAAGAAAUCAUAA